GAUGAACGCUGGCGGCGUGCCUAAUACAUGCAAGUCGAGCGAACGGACGAGAAGCUUGCUUCUCUGAUGUUAGCGGCGGACGGGUGAGUAACACGUGGAUAACCUACCUAUAAGACUGGGAUAACUUCGGGAAACCGGAGCUAAUACCGGAUAAUAUUUUGAACCGCAUGGUUCAAAAGUGAAAGACGGUCUUGCUGUCACUUAUAGAUGGAUCCGCGCUGCAUUAGCUAGUUGGUAAGGUAACGGCUUACCAAGGCAACGAUGCAUAGCCGACCUGAGAGGGUGAUCGGCCACACUGGAACUGAGACACGGUCCAGACUCCUACGGGAGGCAGCAGUAGGGAAUCUUCCGCAAUGGGCGAAAGCCUGACGGAGCAACGCCGCGUGAGUGAUGAAGGUCUUCGGAUCGUAAAACUCUGUUAUUAGGGAAGAACAUAUGUGUAAGUAACUGUGCACAUCUUGACGGUACCUAAUCAGAAAGCCACGGCUAACUACGUGCCAGCAGCCGCGGUAAUACGUAGGUGGCAAGCGUUAUCCGGAAUUAUUGGGCGNUAAGCGCGCGUGGCGGUUUUUUAGUCUGAUGUGAAAGCCCACGGCUCAACCGUGGAGGGUCAUUGGAAACUGGAAAACUUGAGUGCAGAAGAGGAAAGUGGAAUUCCAUGUGUAGCGGUGAAAUGCGCAGAGAUAUGGAGGAACACCAGUGGCGAAGGCGACUUUCUGGUCUGUAACUGACGCUGAUGUGCGAAAGCGUGGGGAUCAAACAGGAUUAGAUACCCUGGUAGUCCACGCCGUAAACGAUGAGUGCUAAGUGUUAGGGGGUUUCCGCCCCUUAGUGCUGCAGCUAACGCAUUAAGCACUCCGCCUGGGGAGUACGACCGCAAGGUUGAAACUCAAAGGAAUUGACGGGGACCCGCACAAGCGGUGGAGCAUGUGGUUUAAUUCGAAGCAACGCGAAGAACCUUACCAAAUCUUGACAUCCUUUGACAACUCUAGAGAUAGAGCUUUCCCCUUCGGGGGACAAAGUGACAGGUGGUGCAUGGUUGUCGUCAGCUCGUGUCGUGAGAUGUUGGGUUAAGUCCCGCAACGAGCGCAACCCUUAAGCUUAGUUGCCAUCAUUAAGUUGGGCACUCUAAGUUGACCGCCGGUGACAAACCGGAGGAAGGUGGGGAUGACGUCAAAUCAUCAUGCCCCUUAUGAUUUGGGCUACACACGUGCUACAAUGGACAAUACAAAGGGCAGCGAAACCGUGAGGUCAAGCAAAUCCCAUAAAGUUGUUCUCAGUUCGGAUUGUAGUCUGCAACUCGACUACAUGAAGCUGGAAUCGCUAGUAAUCGUAGAUCAGCAUGCUACGGUGAAUACGUUCCCGGGUCU
rnacentral:rRNA from 1 species